rnacentral:RNase_P_RNA from 1 species
CUUGUUAGCUAGACAGUCGCUGUGAGUGCUUGCACUCAUGGAGGAAAGUCCGGGCUCCAUAGGGCAGAGUGCCAGGUAACGCCUGGGGGGCGCAAGCCUACGGAAAGUGCCACAGAAAUUAUACCGCUGGUUUCGGCCAGUAAGGGUGAAAUGGUGCGGUAAGAGCGCACCGCGCUUAUGGCAACAUAAGUGGCAGGGUAAACCCCACUCGGAGCAAGGCCAAAUAGGUAUCUAGAGUUCGCUCAACGCGUGGUCCGCGCGAGAUACGGGUAGGCUGCUUGAGGUUGAUGGCGACAUUAAUCCCAGAUAGAUGACUGUUCACGACAGAACCCGGCUUAUCGGCUAACAACUUUA